GACGAACGCUGGCGGCGUGCCUAAAACAUGCAAGUCGAACGGUGUAGCAAUACACAGUGGCGAACGGCGGGGUAAUACAUGAACAACGUGCCCGGAAGACUGGGAUAGUCAGGGGAAACCCUGGGUAAUACCAGAUGUGGCCGAUCUUUGGCAUCUUAGAUCGAUCAAAAGGGUUUUUCGCUUCCGGAGCGGUUCAUGGCCUAUCAGGUAGUUGGUGAGGUAAAGGCUCACCAAGCCGACGACGGGAGCGGGUCUGAGAGGAUGAUCCGCUCGAGUGGGACUGAGACACGGCCCACACACCUACGGGUGGCAGCAGUUGGGAAUCUUGUACAAUGGGGGAAACCCGUGAUGCAGCGACGCCGCGUGGAGGAUGACGGAUCUAGGUCUGU
rnacentral:rRNA from 1 species